GACGAACGCUGGCGGCGCGCUUAACACAUGCAAGUCGAGCGAUGAGACUCUAACAGAACCCUUCGGGGCGAAGACAAAGUGGAUUAGCGGCGGACGGGUGCCUACCACGUGAGUAACCUUCACUUGACAUUGGUAUGGCCUCGAGCAACCGGGAUCAAUAGCAGCUAAAAUCAUAAUGACACAUUUCAUAACGAUCAAAACUCCGCUGGUCUAAGCUGGACUUGCGUCCGAUUAGCUAGUGGGUAGAGUAUAAGCCUACCAAGGCGACGAUGGGUAGCCGGCCUGGUGAGCGGAACCGCUAGGUUUGAGCUGAGAAACGGACCAAACUGCGACGGGACGGAGCAGUAGAGAAUAUUGCACAAGGAAGGGAGCUCUAAUGCAGCGACGCCGCGUGAAAGAAGAAGGCGUUCGUGUCGUAAAGUUCUUUUAUAUGGGAAGAGAGUGACGGUAAUAUAUGAAGAAGCCCCGGCUAACUACGUG
rnacentral:rRNA from 1 species